rnacentral:rRNA from 1 species
GAUGAACGCUGGCGGCGUGCCUAAUACAUGCAAGUCGAGCGAACGGACGAGAAGCUUGCUUCUCUGAUGUUAGCGGCGGACGGGUGAGUAACACGUGGAUAACCUACCUAUAAGGCUGGGAUAACUUCGGGAAACCGGAGCUAAUACCGGAUAAUAUUUUGAACCGCAUGGUUCAAAAGUGAAAGACGGUCUUGCUGUCACUUAUAGAUGGAUCCGCGCUGCAUUAGCUAGUUGGUAAGGUAACGGCUUACCAAGGCAACGAUGCAUAGCCGACCUGAGAGGGUGAUCGGCCACACUGGAACUGAGACACGGUCCAGACUCCUACGGGAGGCAGCAGUAGGGAAUCUUCCGCAAUGGGCGAAAGCCUGGCGGAGCAACGCCGCGUGAGUGAUGAAGGUCUUCGGAUCGUAAAACUCUGUUAUUAGGGAAGAACAUAUGUGUAAGUAACUGUGCACAUCUUGACGGUACCUAAUCAGAAAGCCACGGCUAGCUACGUG